CUGAAAACAGCCCGUCCAGUACAUGUGCAAUUUCUUUUGAAGUCCCUAGCAAAUUAAGAUGGGAGAACAUAUGUUUGUUCUGUUUUUGUCUUUUAGGGAAAGGUGGAUCAAAAGGGUCGGUGGUGAUAAAAUCACCGGCGGCGAGGCUCUCGGUGGAGAAUACAAUCGCAUGCAGAGGCUCUCGGUGGCGGAAUACAAUCGCAUGCAGAGGAAGAGCUUAUGGAGCAGUCCGAGCAACGGCGGCGGAGAGCUUUAAUUUAGAGAGGUGCUGGAGGCGCAAACUCAGGUGGUUUUGGGAUCAAGUACUUCUCUAGUCUCCACCGUCAGUAAUGGAGGAGCUCCUUUGUUGUUUGAUUCUCAUGUUGUCGUCAAGCCGUGGCUCCGCUCCAAGCAAUUGCUCAACUUUGCGCCUCAUAAUUAAUCCAUUAAUCAAGCUUUUGAAUUGGGGUGUGAUCUACUCUAAUUUCUGCGUGCUAAUGAUAAUAGGUGGUGUUGCUUACUAUUCUAGUUGCAUCUGAUGGUUCUGGGUAGCAUGCAAGUGUUUGGAUCUCAAACAAAUUUUUAUAUUCAUCAGAACUAAUCAACAUGUACGUAUACUACUCUUAGAAUUGUGCCAUUUCCUUUUUA